CCAAAGGCUCUUUUCAGAGCCACCUUACUUGUUACAAAAAGAAAUGU
rfam:Myotis brandtii contig203139, whole genome shotgun sequence.